AUUAGCUCAGCUGAUUAGAGCAUGGUGUUAAUGAUGUCAAGCUCAUGGGUUCAAUUCCCAUAU
rnacentral:tRNA from 1 species